rnacentral:lncRNA from 1 species
CCCUGGAAGCCGAGACCCAACAACCCACUAUGCCUACAGGGUGGGGCCCCAAGGGAAACCCCAAACACAGAGGUUUGGGGGAGCACCCAGUCAAUGCUCCACACAUGGAUGCUGGGAAAGGAAUGCUGCCCUGACUCUGCGGGGAGAGGACCAGGGAAGAUCCACAUUUGGUACUUUCUUCAUCUCUGCACUGUGUGCCGCUUCCUUCGGUUGAUUUUUAUCUGGGCCCUUUAGCUGUAAUAAACCAUAGAUCAAGUAAGGCCAGCCAAGUUCAGCGUAACAGGAGUUUUAUGAGAAGGACCAAGGUAACCUCAAAGCCAAGAGUGACUUCAGGGGGAACACAAGUCUGACGGGAAGGCCAAGUACAGCAGGGAGACUAAGGAGGCGAGAGGGACAGGCGGCAGAGGCAGAGGCCAAAGAUGAGGCCCAUCGGCUCAGUUUUUUGGAAGGCAGGCCCAGACAUGAAAAAAGGAUGCCAGUGCUCUCUCUUCUCCUUCCACACAUCCCGGCUGUGACUCUCAGGCUAACACAACUGCCACACUGUUCACACAGGUUUGCAUGGAUACCCUGUGAAUGCAGCUACUGUUUACCCAUGUACAGCAGGGCCCCUAAGAAAACAUUUGUUGUGAAUCUCCAGUCCUUUCCCUCAGAGCAACCCCAGAAGUCCACUUCCUUAAUGGCCAGGCCCCUGCAGCCACCUCUGGACACCCAGGACAUCCUGGAGACCAGUGCUCAGAAUGACAAGCACGGUCUCCUCAGCCGACCAGACAAGCUUCCACAUACGCAGGAGAAACAUCUUUCAUCAUUCCAUCCAGCUAAAGUUGCAAGUUAUUACUGCUGCACGGUUAUGACUGCGAGAAAACAGAAAGAAAAUCUGGAAUAACAAAGACAUGGUUUAAGCACCAACCUAUCACUUACAAGCUCUAAGAGAUUUAAACACCAACUCAUCACUUAAAAGCUCUGUUAGAUAAUCUCUCAGAGCCUCAAUUUUCUUAUUUGCAAUAGGGACCGUAUAUACCUUUUAGGAUAGUCUGGAGGAUUAAAUAAAGUAACUUACUCAUGGCCAAACAUACCAUUCUCCCCAAUACACCCAGGCAUUUAUUCAACACCUAGUACAUGUAAGAAAAAAAUUAAAAAAAAAAAAAAAACAGAAAAAAAAACAUAGUACAUGCCAAGAUAUUAUGACAAUUACAAAUACAAAUAAAUUAUGAUCUUUGACCUCAGCAUACUUAUUAACUAAAAGGGAAGAUAAAACAGGCACAUAACUAUAACAUGAGGCUCUAAUCCUGGCCUGACUGACAUCACAAUUAUUUGCAUAACUGUCUCCCACCACAUUAUUCAUUGUAGCUAUAGAGUCAUGCUUUAUUCAUCACUAAUUUCUCUACCCUUCUAACAGUGACUUGUAAUCAGCAGAGACUCAAGAACUGUUUGCUUUUCAUUGCAAGGACUGACAUAUUUGAGACAGAGCCCUGAUGAUGAUGUGAUAGGAGGUGGAGAGAGAAUGUGGUCAGAGAGGCCUUAAAGCAGAGAAACAUCUGUAUGGUUGCAGAAUGGUGGCAUAAAUGAGAUACAAAAAAAGCUACUUUGGAAUUCAUGACAAGCAGAUUUCUUCUGACUAUGAGUAUUCUAUAAAGGCUUUCCAGAUAUGGUAGCAUUUGUUCUAAGACUGAAAGAAUAGGUACUAGUUGGGGAAAAGGUCAUUCAGAUAGAAAAUAGUCAUGUUAAUAAACGCAAGUGUGCAGACACAAGGACACCCACAGUACACAGUGGGUUUAGGGUGGGGACUUAGCAAGGACAGACUUCUCCAGGCUCUGCCCUCCACAGUCCACUCUCCUGCAGCCCCUCCCUCUAGUGGCCCACUCCCUGUAGAAGCAUGGUCUUGUAUCUGUUUUUUUCAAUGUGGUAAAACAGACAUAUUUAUCAUUUAAACAAUGUGUACAGAUACAAUUCGUUGGCACUAAACAUAUUCACACUGUUGUGUAACCAUCACUAUUGUCUAUACCCAAAAUGUUUUCACCAUCAAUAACAGAAGGGUGCCCAUCAAACACUAACUCCCAUUUCCCCUCCCCCAGCCCCAGUAACCUCUAUUUUACUUUGUCUCUGUGAAUCUGACUACUCUAAGUACCUCGUGUGAGUGAAACCACACAUUGUUUGCCUUUCGUGGCUGGCUUAUUCCACUUAGCAUCCUGUCUGCAAGGUUCAUCCAUGCUGCAGCAUGUGUCAGACUUUCCUGCCUUUUUAAGUCUAAGUAAUGUUCCAUUGUGUCUACGUGCCAUAUUUUGCUUAUCCAUUCAUCCCUGGAUGAACACUUGGGUGGUUCUGGCCCUUUGGCUCACUAUGGACUUGCUGCUAGGAACAUAGGUGUGAAAAUUCUAUCCUUUUUUUUUGACACCGAGUUUCACUCUAUCACCCAGGCUGGAGUGCAGU